CCCACUCUUGAGGAGACCUCAGCUCAGGGCUGCCCUUCACCACCCGCCCAAUUCUGAAGCCAGGCUCGGACCCGCUUCUUUUUUUCGGGGGGGGGGGGGAGGGUAGAACUGCUUCUGCACUGCCCAGCCAGCUCGGAGUCCUGGGCCAGGUCCGGCGCCCACCGCGGAUCACCCAGGCUCCUACCCCUUCCCCCUACGGCGUGCCUCAGAGCUGACCCGCGAGGCGGGCCCUGUGGCGUAGGCCCAGACCCAGAGCCCGUCAUGGCCUCACGCCUAGGUAUGGUUGGCGCUGGCGGGUCUGAGGCGGCGGGAGGAACUCACGAGCCUGUCCCUUCUUAACGGUCAGCAAAAGCGGUCCGCGGGCCGCUGGUGCGCGGCUGGUGCUCCGCACGCACGCACGCACGCACCCGCACUGUACACUGUGCCCCGCCCCCUGCGCCCGGCUGUCUUCAGGUUCUCCACCAGACUCAGUGAGCGACUAAGGACUCUAUGUCAGCCUACGAUGACCUGACCGCCUUCCUGGGCGAGUGGGGCCCCUUCCAGCGCCUCAUCUUCUUCCUCCUCAGCGCCAGCAUCAUCCCCAAUGGCUUCACUGGUUUGUCAGCCGUGUUCCUGACAGCGAUCCCGGAGCACCGUUGCCGCAUACCGGACACCGUGAACCUGAGCAGCGCGUGGCGCAACCACAGUAUCCCAUUGGAGACGAAGGGCGGACGACAGGUGCCCCAGAAAUGUCGCCGCUACCGACUGGCUACUAUCGCCAACUUCUCCGCGCUAGGACUGGAGCCGGGGCAGGACGUGGACCUGGAGCAGCUGGAGCAGGAGAGUUGCCUGGAUGGCUGGGAGUACAGCAAGGACAUCUUCCUGUCUACCAUCGUGACCGAGUGGAACCUGGUGUGUAACGAUGACUGGAAAGGCCCUCUCACCACCUCCUUCUUUUACGUGGGUGUGCUCUUAGGCUCCUUCAUUUCGGGACAGCUCUCAGACAGGUUUGGUCGGAAGACUGUGCUGUUUUGGACCAUGGCCAUGCACACGGGGUUCAGCUUCCUGCAAGUCUUCUCUGUGAACUUCGAGAUGUUUACUGCACUGUAUACCCUUGUUGGAAUGGGUCACAUAUCCAACUAUGUGGCAGCAUUUGUCCUGGGAACAGAAAUUCUCUCCAAGUCAAUUCGAAUUAUAUUCGCCACCUUAGGAGUGUGCAUAUUUUUUGCAUUUGGCUUCAUGGUGCUGCCUCUUUUUGCAUACUUCAUCAGAGACUGGCGGAUGCUGCAGCUGGCAAUCACUUUGCCAGGGGUGUUGUGUGGGCUUCUCUGGUGGUGUAUUCCUGAGUCCCCCCGAUGGCUCGUCUCUCAAGGCCGAAUUAAAGAGGCAGAGGUGAUCAUCCGCAGAGCUGCCAAAAUCAAUGGAAUUGUUGCACCUUCCCCUAUUUUUGAUCCAAAUGAGUUACAAGAUGUAAGUUCCAAGAAGCCUCACAAACACCACAUGUAUGAUCUGAUCCGAACCCGGAAUAUCAGGAUCCUCACCAUCAUGUCCAUAAUCCUGUGGCUGACCAUAUCUGUGGGCUAUUUUGGACUUUCUCUUGACACUCCUAAUUUGAAUGGGAACAUCUACCUGAACGGCUUCCUUUUGGCGGCUGUUGAAGUCCCAGCCUAUGUGUUGGCCUGGCUGUUGCUACAGCAUGUAACCCGGAGAUAUUCCAUGGCUGGUUCCCUUUUCCUUGGUGGCAGUGUCCUUCUCUUAUUGCAGCUGGUGCCCUCAGACUUAAUUUAUUUGUCUACUACCCUGGUGAUGGUGGGCAAGUUUGGAAUCACCUCUGCCUAUUCCAUGGUCUACGUGUACACAGCUGAGCUGUACCCCACUGUGGUCAGAAACAUGGGUGUGGGGGUCAGCUCCACAGCAUCCCGCCUUGGCAGCAUCCUGUCUCCCUACUUUGUUUACCUUGACAAAAAACACCUUCUGAGGAAGAGCUGUGAGCUGCUGUUUUCCUAUCGCCAUCAUUUGGGCUGUCUCCCUUUCCCUCUGCUCCUGCAGGAGACACAGAAACCUCCUGUGUAUAGACCAAGGCCUCCAUUCUGCAGGGCGUGUGCAAGCAAGUGUUAAAAAUGCUUGAAGUUGUCACAUACUAAACUGAGCUUAAAGCAUUUGGGCAAACUUUAUGACAGUUUCAGCCUUGGCAAAAACUUGUUUCAGUGGACUAACCUCAGCAAAUUGUGAGACUUAGUGUUAGAAGCCUUGCCCAAAGACUGCAGUGCAUCCUCAGUGCUCUGUGUGCAGUGACAAAGUCUAGACUUCAAACUGUCCUGUCGUCAUGGAGACACUGCAAGCAAGAAGCUAUUUGAGAUCCCCAACAAGCAAAAUACUCUUCACUUCUUCAAACAUAUUUUUCUUAAGGUAUCUGCAUCUGAAUCAGUAAGUAAGAUAUCAUCUAUUUAAUGGUAAAUCAUAUAUUGAGAGAACUGUUUACAAAAUAGUUCUAAAGGCUGUUGUACAAAAUAUUGACAUAAGAUGGGACUGUUUAACAGUCCUUGUGAAAGAAUUUUCCAAUGCUACCUUUUAAUAGGCUAGGAAUUAUGAAUAGGCACUCUUCUGUUCUUUUAAAGAUGUAGUUAAAAAGAAAACAGUCUUUAAAAUCAGUCACUAUAAUAGACCAUCCCUUAGGUAAUAAGAAGGCAAGGGAAUUCCAGGCUGUAAAGAUCCCAUUGGCUGAAUCAGCUUAUUUAUGGCUAUUAAAUCUUUUAAUUUCUCCAUUUUCCAGAUUUCCUUUUAAUGACAAAUACAGGAGAGUUCCAAGGUCUGAUUAAUUUUUUAAUAUAUUAAGUAUUUAGCUGCUCCUAUUCCAGUUGUUCUAGUACCUAUGAUUUUUUUUAUGUCAACAGCCAUUGUUCUACUCACACAGGAUUUUCAGUUCACCAUUUUAAAGAUAGGGUUGUUGAUCCUUUGAAAUACAAACAGCUGUUGUGCUCUGCUUAUGUACACCCUGAACAGUCUGUGGCUGUUCUUCAAAAUACCUUUUAAUAUUUCUCUCAGCAGCACUCUUAAUUUAUGGCUUGUUUCUAAUACUGGAGGAAUGUCAGUCUGUGUUUUCCAUUGCUGCAAUAAAUCACAUCCCCCUAAAUUCAUUGCUAUGGUAGCCACAUAUGGCUUUAAUUUUUUUUUUUCUCUGUCCCUCUGGUCCUUAUACUCAACCUAUCUUACACUUUGUUUUACCUGAGAAAGUUCCAAUCCCUAAAAGCUGAAUAUUUACCUCCUCAAGAAGCCAAUUUGGAUGCCAACAUUUUGGUGAAAUUAUUGUUAAGUCUGUACCUGUGUCUAUCAAAUCCUCAAUUUCAAUGCCAUUUAUUUGUAUUUUGGCUUUAGUCUCUGAUCAUUUACAACAGUUUGCUAAAAUACUUGCUUUCUGGUCUCUCCUGAACUUUUUGUUGUAUCUAUUGAAAUUGUUCUGUAUUUGAUCACAUCCAGAGAAGUAUGGCUUCUAACAACAGGUAUUAAGUCUUUUCAUUGCUCUGUGGAUGAGUUUCUCUGACAUUGACAGGGAAUGGUUGAACCAAGUUUGAUAUUAGGGCCUGCAGGAGGCCCCUCAUGGCAUUUUCUGAUAGCAAAGUUUUAUUUUGCCUGUCCCUUGUUGAUCUGCAUUCAUUAGUCCAAUGCCAACCUUUAUCACACCUUAUACAUACUCCAGAAGGCUGGCGCCAUUAUUUAUAGGCUUAAAUUAAGUCUACAUUGUUCUGUUUAUCAGUAAGACUCAGGAAUCAAAGGCUGGGGUGAAAACCUGAUAGCUCAGACUGAGUAGCAACUAGUUGAGUUUUGGCUGGAGACCCUGCAAAGAAACACAUCUCUUCCCUCAUCCCAGAACCCAAAAAGAAAGUUCAAACUCUAGUCUCCAGUCUUUCUUUACUGUGUAUCUCCUCUAUCCAAAUUGCUGGCUUCUCUGUAGCCAAUUCCAGUCAGCUACAGAGGUCCACCCCAUGAUUCAAAGGUUAACUUUAUUGGCAAGUUUCAGGAGUGUCCGAGUGUGAUCAGAAUAUCCCACAACAUGCUAGGGAUUUGAAUUACUUUCUCAUUCUUUCAUGGCAAGCACUUUACUCAUUCAUCCUUCUCCCCAGACCCAAAACCAUCACAAACACCAGCCCUAGUACCAGCACAAGCCCCUCAAGUCCCUGAGAAUAAGAUUUCUGAGAGCCUCUUCUGUGAGAGAGGGGCAGUGCCACAGCUCUAGUGCGACUUUCCACAGUCCUCCCUCUUCUCCACAUGGCCAUGGUCUCACUUCAGGGUAGAGAAGGAGGAGAGAGCCAGGUCAAGGGUAGGUCGGAGCUAAGGUGUGUCAAGUCAACAACCAAUAGAGAACUCCCUGUCUAUUUGGGUCCACACCCCUCAUCCUAGCAGGCUCUACAGGAAACUGCUGACAUUAGGUCUGGGAUAACAUUUGUACUAAGACCUCAGGUCUGAAGGCCUUUGAGUUUCACUGAAAACUGAUCUGUCUCAAAACAGGCGGAGUUCCAGGUUAGUUCCUGAAAGGGAGGACUUGGUGGAAGGACAGAAACAGUAGGACUAAAAUAGCUACAUUCCAGAGGCAUUUGUUGGGGUUUUUCUGUGAAGCCAGAUUUUAACCCAACAGAUUUUUAUUUAAAAAAUUCUGUCUGUGCCUACACUUUAUCCUCCAUGCUCUGGGAAAGAAUCUAGAUGCUUGGGACAGUAAAAGUUCAGGUUGGAAAUUAAUUUUCACACUGAUUGCAGAAACUGAAUUCUUCUCAAAGCUGUACAGAGUCUCCUUCUGGGCUUCUCUUAACCCUCCCCAGGCUUGCCAGAGUCUUAGGUUGUACAAAAGGCCAGCCAAACUCUCCAAAGCAACACAGAAUGCGGAGGAAGUGGGACUCAAGAUCAGGGUCAAUGACCUCCCGCACCCCAGCUUUCUCCCAGACUCCAUGUCAUUCUCAGGCACAGCAUCAUAACCUGCCCACAGACUUCUGGGUAAAAUAGCAGCAGUUCCCUCCUUAGUCAUCUAUAAAGAACUGCUUCUCUGUUUUCUACAGGAAAACCUAGCCACCUCCUGUCUCGACUGAUUCAUCAAUUCAGUAUUUGCCAGUGCUUCUAACAUCAACACCCCACCCCCACCCCUGCUAUCCCACGCUAGGACAGUUCUUUAGACAUGCUUAAAGCUUGCCUCCUCUGGUCCAUAUGUUUCUCUUCAGUAAGGGUACAACUGAUGGCGCCUUCUACAGCUUUGACUCACAGGAAACUCAGAUUUCUUUGAAGUUGAACUACACCAGUUAUGUAGCUUUUAUCAGCCACGUAUUUAUUUUUCACUUAUCUUCUAAUGUAUUUAUCUUUUUAUAUUGAGGAUCAAACCACAUGUUUCCUGCAUACAACUGUAUUGAAUCUACACUACAGCCCUUAAAUGCUUUUAACUUGAAAUGUAACUUUAUCCUUGUCUAUUUGAAUGGAAUAGAAAAGACAAAGUUCAGAAACAAAAAUUUUAUUUUUUGUGUCAUAGCAGCAGGAGUGUGAGACCCCUGGUCACACUGUGUCACUAUUCAAGAGACAGAAAAAGAUGAGUGUCUGUGCCCAGCUCUCUUUCUCCUUUUCCCCCAUCAAUAAGAAAUUUACUUAUUUUCUUGGCAGUGGUGGUUCACACCUUUAAUCCCAGCACUCAAGUGUUAGAGGCAGGUGGAUUCUUGUGAGAUGGGAGCCAGCCUGAUCUACCAAGCAAGUUCCAGAACAGCCAGGACUACACAAAGAAACCGUGUCUCAAAAAUAAAAUGAAAGGAACGGAAGGGAAAGGAAAGAAAGAAAAAACAAGUUUAUUUUUUAAAAAUCCAAUGUUGGCAUUGUCCAGAAAAUUUUAACAGGUUUAUUUAUAAUUAUUGUAAAGUUGAAAUGAGUUCCCUGAAACAUUUUGCUUGCAUUUUUGCUUUACAUCUUGCAUUUAUAUUAAAAUUUCACAAAUUUUAUGGCAAAUGAAAAUGGCAAAACUGCCAAUACCUGAUUUCUGUCCCCUAUUUUUCCAUUGGAAUCAUAUACUUAGGUAACUCUUGAUGCCAUAGGAAAAAAAUCUCUAAGAUUCAGAACUACUGAUAACAGGAGGAAGACAGAAAAAUUAUUUUUGAGGAUAAAAUGUUUCUUCUCAUAGUAGACUCUUUUUUAAUUUAUUUAUUAUGUAUACAAUUUCCUUCUGCAUGUACACCUCCAUGCCAGAAGAGGGCACCAGAUUGCAUGGCAAAUGGUUGUGAACCACUAUGUGGUUGCUGGGAAUUGAACUCAGGACCUCUGAAAGAGCUGCCAGUGCUCUUAGGCUCUGAGCCAUCUCUCCAGCCCUUCAUAGCAGACUCUGAAGCACGUCAUCCACAUAUGAGGCAUGCUAGCUAGAUAUCUUUUGGCAUAAUUGUUACAUGUUUGGCAUGGAUAGCACACAGGUUGAUAGCUUAACAACAGCCAACCAGAUAGGCCACAUUUGCCUCCUCCAACACGCUAACAGCUGCACUCUAAAGGCCCAGAUAUGUUUUGAAGACCUGAGCAAUUUCUCGCACCCAACACUAGAAGGGGAGUUUGAGAAUCGGAAAGUCAGUGGAUGAUUUCUGAUAGAGUCUGAUUUGUUGUUGUUGAUGCUGUUUUGGGUUUUGUUUUUGUUUUGUUUUUCAAGACAGGGUUUCUCUCUGUAGCUUUGUCUCUGUGUAGCUUUGGAGUUUGUCCUGGAACUUGCUCUGUAGACCAGGCUGGCCUCCAACUCACAGAGAUCCACCUGCCUCUGCCUCCCGAGUGCUGGGAUUAAAGGUGUGCACCAUCACUGCCCAGCUAGAGUCUGAUUUUCUAGUGUCAUAGCACCAAGUCUGUAAACAUGAGGUUUCCUUACCCCUCCAGUAGAGCUCGCACUCUUGAGAGUGGGUUUUGUAGCCAGUUGUUUUCAGGGUGCUUUACCUCCUAUGGAUUUACAGGUUGUCUGCUUUGUAUGAGCCAUGGUAUGGGCACCUCCUUACUUACCCCCUUCUCCUUCGGCUGGAGCUCUGUUAGUGAGAGGCAGCGCUGGCAUUACAGUGGUACUGUUGGCUGUGAAUGCCCUUUCUCCUUUGUAUUUGGUCCUGCUCCCUAUCCCAUAUCCUGGCACCACCCACGAUUAGAGUGAAUCAUUCCUCCUCAUUUAACCCAAUCUAGAAACUUACUCACGAGUAUACCCAAAGCCUUGUUUCCUCGGUGGUUGUAAAGCCCAGCACAUUGACAAGAAAUAUUAAUCUUAAUCAGGGGACUUAGCAUUGAGGAGCCCACACUGGGAUACUGGACACACCCCCUCAGCCCAUCCUAGGAACAUGAGUCUAUGGGAAAGAGGAGGAGAACAGAUCUGGUGAGCAGAGCUGGCAGUCAUCACUGCCAUAGGUCUUUUUUCCAGGUGAGCCCAGAGGGUGCAGAGUAGAUUCUAGAAAGAGCUAGAACUCCAUGAUAAGAGGAUGCUGUGCUAGAAUCCUGACCCGAGCCACAAGGCCAUCUCUGAAGACCCGCUGCUAGUGACCUGCUGUGUACUUGCUGCACAGGACAGAAACCAACUGCCAACACAUCCUUCCCCAGCACUGCCAACUGCACGCGCCCUAGAGCCUUUGUACUGGUCACUGGGUGUGUGUGUAGUGCCGGGCGGCCACUGCAGGGAAAGCAGACCAGCUCCUUCCCUGCCGUCCCAUCAGUGAGCACUGUCUGCCUGGGGAGCAUCGGCUCCAGUGCUGACCACCAGCCCUGGGAAGAUCCAGAGGCAGCUGGCUUCUAGGUUUCACGUCCAAGGGUUCAAGAACAGAAGUGCGUCCUGACAGCCAGAAGUGCCUCUGUUGUCUCCAAGCCAGUGUCUGUUUGCAGUUGUGGACAAGCAUCCCACACCCUGACUCCAUACAGUGUCUCAAAAGAGCCACUUCUUGUCUCCUGGACAGGACCGUCUGUCUGUGUCUCCCACUGGCCUCUUAUUCUGAAAAUGCAGCAUUCUCAGAAGGCAUUGGUAGGGCCCUUGUCAAGCAUACGUGGGUUCAAUUACUCCAUCCUGAGGAGCGUAUCUUCAGGUGGAGUUUGUAUUCAGAAAAGAACCUUUCCUGGCUUGCUUUGUCUCUUAUUUCACUGGCAUAUGAAAGAUUACUUAAUUUUUUUAAUUUUGUGUAUAUGGGUGUUUUGUCUGCAUGUCUGUCUGUGCACCAUAUGAUGCAGUGCCUGGGACAGCCAGGAGAGGGCCUCAGAUCCCCUGGAACUGGAGUCACAACAGUUGUUGGGGACCAUGUGGGGCCAGGAAUUGAACCCUGGUCUUCUAGAGGAGCAGCCAUGCUCUAAAUCUACUAAUCCUGGAAAGACAGCUUUGUGAGAGUUAGAUAUUAUGCUGAUUUAUCUGGAAGUUUCCAAUGGAACCCAGGCUGAGGGUUAGUAAGGAAGGGCAGGCCACACUCCACACAACUCUGUGCCUGAGAGAAGCUCCAGACUGGUUACUUUUCCUAUUGCUGUCACAAAAUGCCUGACAAGGAAGGAAGGGUUUUCCCGGGCUCACGGGUUGGGGUACAGCCCAUCACUGCAGGGAGGCCGUGGGAGCAAGGACUGGAGGCUGCUGGCCACACUGUGUCCACAGAAAGGAAGCAGAGAGCAUGGAGAGCUGGCGCUCAGCGCAUUUUCUCCUUUUAUUCAGUCCAGCUGCGUCAGGUGUCUUCCCACCUCAGCUAACACAGUCCAGAGCUUGUCACGAGCUUGCCCAGAGGUUGACUCCUGGGUUAUUCGAGAUGCUGUCUACUUGAUCAACUUGAUCAAUACAAGCACCUGGGUAUACAAGAGUAGAGCUGUGUUCUGCAGGAAGAGAAACCACUGUCAUUAUCACCAUCAGUGAGUGUCCUUGUCCCUUUCCUCCCCUGCUAAGCUAAUGGGUUUAUCUGAAAAGAAGCUGGUGGCAGGGAAUGCUCUUAAGACACAUGUUAUUCUGUGUCGUCUUUGUUCCCAGCUCGAGUUGUCACUUUGGCCUAAGGAUAAAACACGUUGUAUUCAACUUUACACCUUAUGAUUCAAUCAGAGGCAGAAACAGAAAUGGGCAGCAGUCACAGAGUCCACACAAGAUAAGAGGUAUCUGCCUGAGGACCAUAGCAGGGGCCUCUGAUCCUUAGUCCCCAGAAUUCAGCAGGGCAGAACCAUUGCAGAGGUCUGCCCAUUCUUAGUUACAAGAGUUUUUCUGGGGGCUGGAGAGAUGACUCAGUGGUUAAUAUCAUUGGCUGCCCUUCCAGAGGUCCUGAGUUCAAUUCCCAGCAACUACCGGGCUCACAACUAUCUGUAAUGAGAUCUGGUGCCCUUUUCUACCAUGCUGGCAGAAACUGUACACUUAAUAGAUAAUAAAUCUUUAAAAAGAGAAAGUUCUUCUGUCACCCAUGGACUGGCCCAAGUGCUACUGGUGAUGGGCACAUUGUACCAAGGACAAAGCUGCCCCAGGCAAAGGGCAGCCAGAGGCCAGCACUAAUGAGAUGAAGGCUUAAGAACAGAUUUUAAUUUUCCUAUUUAAAAAAAAUGAAUUCUUAGUUCUUACCCAAACAGCUCAUCCUUUAUGGUAAGACUUACAAAAGCAUCAAUCAGCCAGUAGACUGGGGUGGGAAGUGGCUAUGUUUAGGCAGCUAUGUAUUUGCUGCCUGUUCAGAAUGAGGCAGACUCCAACAGUAUGCCACCCAUUACCUCUGAAGAAAACCUACAGAGACUGUAGUGUGCAGCCUCCACCAGUGUCCAACAUAAUCAGCUCAGCUUGAGAUGUUGCUCCAAGUAUCAAGGCAAUUUGAAACCACAGACCCCUGGCCCUAAGAAGAGUAGGCUGAGAAUGGGAGAGGCACCUGGACAAAACCACCGCUGUGAUUUGGGAUUUUUUUUAAUGCCCCAAAUUCCCAUUAAAAAGCUAGGCAGUGAAUGAUUACAGAUGUGAAUGUGUGUGUGUAUGUGUGUGUGUGUGUGUGUGUUAGAGCACAGGGGCAGCAGUGAGAAAGGGGGGCCAUACAUGGACUAUGCAGAAAUCUCUACAAUGUCAAGCUGAUCAAAUGUUAGAAAGCCAAGGUCAUUGAUGACUUUGACCCUACAGGAAGGAAGGAAAGAACCCUGAGCAGGUAGAGGGCCAGCAGUUCAAGGUCACCUUUUACUAGGUGGUAAGAUCGAGGCCAGCCUAGGCUACAGGAGGCCCUGAAGAAAAGAUAGGGAAGGAAAGCAGAGGAGAGAGAA